UACGGGGGGGGCAAGCGUUGUUCGGAAUUACUGGGCGUAAAGGGCUCGUAGGCGGCCAACUAAGUCAGACGUGAAAUCCCUCGGCUUAACCGGGGAACUGCGUCUGAUACUGGAUGGCUUGAGUUUGGGAGAGGGAUGCGGAAUUCCAGGUGUAGCGGUGAAAUGCGUAGAUAUCUGGAGGAACACCAAUGGCGAAGGCAGCUCGCUGGAACGGUACUGACGCUGAGGCGCGAAAGCGUGGGGAGCAAACAGG
rnacentral:rRNA from 1 species